AUAUAAAAGUAGUAGGUAACCUCCCCAUCUUUCUUGUGUUAAAUUUUCAUGACCAUAGGUUUAGUAGUUUAAGAGUUAUGAUUUUCCCAAGUCCAGUUUCAGAAUCUGUCCAGAUUCUGUACUGAUUUCGAAAAUUGCUUUGUUUGACUAAAUUAAACUUAGAAUCAGACCUUAGUAAUUAUAGAAGAAUUGUAGUACCUUUUUUAAGGUUUCCAACAGAUUUUGGAUCACCCUUUUUUGUGAUCUAUAAAUUAAGUUACAGCUGUUUGAGUUAGUAUCUCUGAAUCUGUCCAAAUCUGUACAACAAUGUUUGUUUGUAUUAUACACAUUGAAUCACUUUGAGAUGAUUAUAAAUGAAUUAUAGAAAAUUCUAUUAGCUUUCUAAAAAGUUUAGGAUCACCUGAUUUGGAUUUCUGAAACUCCAGUUAUGGAUUUUUGAAGUGAAGAGCCGAAUUCUGUCUAAAUUUGGACAGAAUUAAAGUUUAGCACUGUUUGACCAUUCAAACUGUCGAAUCGUGUUGUGAUGAUAAUAUAAGAGUUAUAGAGGACUUUCUAAGCUUUCCAGAAAGUCCUAGUUUACUAUUUUUGGAUACAUAUUUGGUGAGUUAUGAAUAAAACAAUUAACCGUUGUGCUACUGUCUAAAAAUUCUGCAAGUAUUAAAUUGUUGGUUUGAAGUUACUAUUGUUUGGCUAAGUAAGUUUAGCUGAUUCUUAAUUGGUGAAGUGAUGCUUUGUUUUAGUAAUUAUCAUGUUCUGUAGUUGUUGAUUGAGUAAAUAUCAUAAAUGGAGAUUGGUCGCUUAAGUUAAUCAUCUUGAAUAAAUGUUCCUCAUUAUCCUUAUUAGUUGGAAGCAAAUAGCAUCAAUAGGUUUAUUCUAGUUGUAAUCCGAGAGCUAUAUAGUGGGAAGUGCAUUUAGGCGCUUAAAGUCUUUUGCUUCUAGGUUAUAGUCAAAUGAGAUUAUGUAAUAUUUGAUGAUGCUCUACUUGCUAGGACAAAUAGUGUGAUGUGUUAUUUAGCUCGUGCGCUAUGCUAGUUAAUCCGAUGAAAUAGUUUAAAAAGUUAGUUAAAGUAUUUAUAUUCAAAUUCGAAGUUGUAGAUGUCCAAGGCUAAUAAGUUUAAAUUAUGGUAAUCGUUUGGUGUAUGUUCUAGUUAAAGAGGAUCCAUACACGGUUCACGAUUGUUUGGUGUUUAAGUUAGGUUUGAUUGAUUAGAAGAUCAUGCUUGUUGUGUGAGUUAAUGUAUCUAGUGAUUACUUAUGCUUGCUUAUAAUGCUUUGCUAGAGAACUUCAUAUAAUAUUGUAGUUCAUACAUGUGCAUUGUACAUUCAAAUAGGUACGCUAGCUGAAAAAUCGUGCGAAGCGAGGGGUGUGGAUCAAAACAACCCACAAGACGAUGUCGGCUAAUGUGCCCGAAGAUGGAUGUACUAAGCAGAUGUCAGAAUAAAAGUUGAUCGUCAAGUGGCCUUCAUUUAACAACACACUUAGUGUUAUCCCAGGCAAGCCCCGGUGCAUUUGCCACCUCCUUGUUGUUUUAAAACUUUUAUCACUUAUAUGCUGCAUUAGGUGAUAGGAGUUGAGUGAUGAAAUAAUUGAUGCAUUACCAUUCCUUGGAAUUUGAUUAUCCUCCUUGCUACCUGUUUUAUAAAGAGAACUAAUGAGGCUUAGCUCUGCCUAGAGAAUUAAAACUUGUUUCUGUUUAAAAGAAUGUUGUGUAACACUGGGUAUGGGUUUGUUUUAUGAAAAAGGACUUGUAAUGGUGAGAGCAUCAUCUGUAGUGAUGAAUUCAUCAUUCAAGUAUGGUACCUCUGUCAGGUACAUGGUUUUGAGAAGGAAAAUAAUAAGAUGAGACCAGACGUUGAGCAGGAAAGGUCGCCCAUCUGUGUCGAUUAAGGACCGCACCGAAAGUAGGCUUGCUGAUUUAGGACCCUUUAACUGGCCACAUGCCUCGUCAUGGGUAAGCUUAGCCUCGGCCGGACCAAUACCAGAACAGCUCGCACGCACUGGGAGUGGAGAGAUGGCGGGAGUAACGUGUGCCCACCUGGCAAGUGGCUGGAUGGUGGGGUACUGUGCUCUCGGGUCGUGUGAACCCAUUCUGGUCUUGAGAAACCCGUGGGCGAGUUGACAUAUGCAAGGUUUAAGUGCUACAUAUGUCGUGUGGUUGGAGAUCCUCAGCUGAGUAUUAAUCGAUUCGGAUCGCCGUUACUUCUCGAAUAUGAAGACUGGAUCACUGCCCUACAUCGUAGAUAACAAGUGAAACUAAAGCUGCUAAAAUGAAGCUAGUGUAGGACAAGUGAAUGCUCUAGAUUAGGCAAAUCUAGAUUAAGGAAAAAUACUUAACUUGUGAAGUAAAAUUUUGGCAUAAGGAUCCACUACUAGUAAGCUUUUCUGCAAAAAGGAGUCUUUGAAAUUUGAUGAGCUUUACCUUGAUUCCCAACAAACCAGUAUACCCUUGAGAGUCUUUUCUUUAGUCGGGUAAGUCUUGCUGAGUAAUUGCAUAGUCAGGGUUUUAUUCCCUAUUGUUUUUCAGGUUAUAAGUUUGUUCUGUUGUGGAUGGUGCUAAGUGCCGGUGGGCUCGUCCUUCUUAUAUAUGUAUAUCCCAUCUUUAGCUUCUUUAUUGAGGAUUGUCACUUAAGCUAGCAUGUAUUUUAAAACUUAUAAAUGUUUUAUACAUUCAAAUUGUAAUCUUUUGUAUCAAUUUCUCUUGUAAUCACUCCGAUGAUAUAUUGUAAUAUGGCUAUAACUUGUAAAUGUUGUAACUUGUAAUCAUUUUGUAAUAAAGAAUUUAUUUCCGCUGCAAGUGUUUGUAUGUGAGUUGUGUUUACUUAAUCUUGCGAUCUUGGCGGUAAGUCAUUUAUCCGAGGUCCUCGGGGCACUCGGACAGAUCCUGUUAAGUUGUUUGGUGCACAUGCAUAGCCGUUUGAGGUCUUUGAGACAAGGACAGGUGCAUGUGGGCCCGAUAACUUGGGAGGUUCUGCGACAGCUGGUAUCGGAGCUGAAUUAAGUAUAAGAUGGUCACAUACAUAUUUUUAAAACAAAGUUUUGGUUUCGAAAAACUUAUUUUCAACUAAACACAUUGUUUGGUUUUGAUAAAAAAACAGAUUUAAAAAACUAUAAUGCUAGCGACAUUCUCUGUUAAGCCCUAAGUUAAGGACUACUAGGUGGCUUAGUUUAGAAUACUAACCCACAACCUGGGAAGGGUGAUGCAUACAUGUGUAAUGUUGUUUUUGAGGUCAUUCAGUCUUGAGUGGAUCGACGCUCAGGUAAGGUGAGAAGUGAGAGCGUGACCGGACAAACGUCGGUCUAGGAGAGAGUAUAAAAAGUGCUUGAUUAUAUACAUGUUUUACAUAUGUAUAUAUGAAGGCUGCGAUGUGGAGUAUUUACUUUUCCAGGAUUCAGUACCCCAUGGAUGUGUAUGGGUAUACAGACAUGGGAAUACUGAGAAGUGUAAUGUACCACAAUGGGCUGCCCUGUGGUUAAAGUGUGACAGCGGCGCCUAUGCGUGGCUCGGCGCUUAAUGAGGAGCUGGCCUCCAUAUAGAAAUAUAUGGAGUAUAAACUGUGAUAAUCUGUCAUGUGUGAAUUGCAUCAUUGGGAACUGGGUUGUGAUGGAAAUUUUCUGCAGGUACACUAACUUCGAACUCGUAUGUGUAGCUGAGACUAGCAAUAUACCGAGAGAGACGUAGUUAUGCCACCGAUAUAGAACGUUAUUGCCACGUUAUGUUGGCAAAACUGGUGAGGCCGAAUAGGACGAGCAUGCAUCCUGAUUGUUGCAUUGUGUCUGUUGUUUGCGCACAAAAAUGAUUCCAUCACCUUUAUUCUAAUAAUUGGUGGUUGUAAACGAAUAUGCUUUUCUCAUCUUUAUUCCGAUAAUAAAUAAUUGGAAAAUGUUUGAAGCAUGACUGUCCUAUAAGCAAAUUUCUAGCUUUGUUUGUUGUGUUUUUAGACAUGUGUUUAUGUGGCUUGUGGUUCUUCUUAGUUUGACCGUCAGUUCAACCUGUGUUUGCUCCUAUACUCGAUGUGCCGAUAGAAUAUUGGUGACUUGUUUGUAUAAACCCAAAGCUAGGCCAUAUUUUUCAUGUUGAUUUUGUCCCAUAUUCAUGUUGAUCUCUCCUCCACUCAUCCUAGAAAUCCAUCUUGGUGGAUGACCUCUCUUUUUACCUGGACCUAGCAAUAUUUCUCCGUAUGAAUUAGCUGUGAUUUUAUCUGCCUAACAUCUUGAUCAUUGGUUAAUUCUACCCUUUCAUCUUGUUGCUUGCACCAACGUCUUGCUAAGUGUUGGAUGUUUAGCAAAUUUAAAUCUCCCAUUGUUUUCUUAAUAUCCCGCUUGUGUAAAGAUGUGUCUUGAAUAUCUCUUCGAUGGGCGUCAAAUGCAUCUGAGCUUAAAACCAGAACCUUGGAUUCAAUUGUUUUUCUUGAAUCUUGAUGCCUUUGAUUCUCUCCUAUCUCCCAUAGGCUCAUCCAUCUAACCUCAUGAUCAUUUCCUCUUUAUAUCUAAUCUGAUGUUGAUUUUUAACCUAGUAAUCUCCUUGUUGGACAAAAGAUGCAUUCGAUCUUAAGGUAAAGAUCUCGAGUCUGUGUUCCUAAUAAUUAAUUCAAAACUAUUUUGUGGUUAUAUUUUCAUUCUAAACCAUGCCCUUGUUCGGUUGGUGCAAGCUGAUGGUUCUAUUCUGCUUUGCCUCUCCAAGAGAAUCACAUUGUUGCUUUCUCAAUCUAACCUAGGAAAGGAAUGCCCAAUUAUUUUUCUUGAAUUUAAUGUCUUUGGUUUCCUCAUAUCUCUCAAAGGCAUACCAAUUUAAUCUUCUGAUAGUUUUCCUCUCUAUAUCUAAUCAAACACUAAUCGUUGACUUGAUAAUCUCUGCGAUGGACAUAGAAAUAUGCUUGGGCUGAAUUAACAGUCUCCGAUCGCACUCCUUCGUAAUAAAUCUAUUAAAAUCAAAAUCUAUCUAUGUCUAAUUGUGUGAUAAAAAUCACCCCUUCCACAUGUGAUCCCUUUUCUCUUGACUUUGAUAGUGACGACAUACAUACAAGUUUCCUUUGCAUCCUUUGUGUAAAGGUGAAGCCUUGGAGCUUUUUAGUGUUGGGAGACAAUUGAUUAGUUCUCAAAAUGGAGAUUGACUUCCCUUGCUGCUAAAUGCAGGAGUUUGUUCAUUCGCCUCCUUAUUGGAUUCAUACAUCUAAUACACAUGUUAGUUUGUCUCGUGUGGAGGAGAUGAAUAAAUAAUCUGAUCAACUGAAUCCUUAUCCAAAUGCAUGCCCUCGUACUCGUAAAUGUGAACUCCCAACCUCUGGUUUGCUGAUGGGUAAUAAGAGGACUUGCUCGAUGUCAAAGGUAGUUCAACAAGUUGGUUUUACUAAUUUGUAACUGCCCAAUGAACAAAGGUUGAGUUUAGAGAUCAUUUUAUCGAGUUGUCUAAACUCACUUUAGUUCAGCGUAUCCUAAAGAGACCCUUGUGAAGAUCAAGUGAAGGUUAUGAACAUAUGCGCAGAUCUUAUGCCAUAUUGGAUUAGAUUAUGAGCAUAUGUAUCUUAACUUUACCUUGUUGGCCGAGGCACUUUGCCAUCCUUAGCUAACUAUUAACAGCCUAACCACAGCUCUAGUCGUGGAUCGAUCGCCUCACGUAUGGUUUUCCAACGUGUGUGAUCAAGUCGAGCCAUGAUUAGUGCUUGAUAAAAUGGAUUGGUUGCGAAGUCAACAUCUAUAGAUCCCUCCGCUGGUGAUUUUCUCGAAUCUAUAUCACCUUUCAUGAACUUGGAUUCUCUAGAUAAUCACAAGUCGACCGUGAGGCUGUUCGACAUUCACAACCGUCUCUUAUGCUAUGGAUUUGCAGUGACGCCUUAAUGACAAAUCUCAUUUUGUGUGUUUUACCCAAGAAGGUGCAUCUGAUUCUGCUUGGCAACUCCCAUAUCUAUUAUUCGCCCAGCAGACUCCAGUUGUCUGAGAAAGCAAACCGCACACAUGGAACCUUAUGUGUUCUUUUGUCAGUUAUAGCUUGUUUGUUGAUGUCUCUAGUUAAACUAAAGUGGUAUGUGCUAUACCCACUAGAAAAGCAACAUUAUGAGAUGCUCGUCUUUGCUUGGAAUUAGUUUAUGCUAUCACUAUUAUGGACAGGGUUAUACGCCUCUCUACUCUUAGAAGUCUUUCGUUCUGAAUCUCGGGACGAGAUUCUUUUAAGGGGGAAAGGCUGUAACACCCCAGGUGUUUAUCGACUGCUCGACCACGAGUGCGGACUUUAAAACGUGAUAGCGGUGAAUAAAAUGUACACUAAAUUUUAAUCAUCUUUGUCUAUCGCGAUUUUGAUAUCGUGUCUGUCUCCAUCUGUUUAAAUUGUCCUAAAUUAUUUUGCAAAAAUUCAGACUUUAGUAAUCUUCUGAAACAUUGAAUCCAGUAUCGUUUGGGUUGAGCCAUCGACAUCUUGCCCCAAAACUCUAAAUUCUUGAAAUCGGAUCUAGUUCCUAAACUUUGUUUCAAAUUCUUUCACGCUUGCAUUGCACAUGUCUCUCUGUGGCCUGGCAUCGUGGCGCGUGGCUGGUGCUAACCAAUGCCUGGACAGCGCACAACCUCUCGCCCACGUGAACGAUGCGUAACUUCGCUUCCGAAGGGAUCACAAUUUCGAUGCUGGAUCGAUCUCGCGUAUUUAUUUCACGAAAUACCGAGCCUUGUGUCUGUUUAAAAUUUAUGGAUUAAGAGAACAUGAAUUUGGAAUCCUGACCCACUCUUGUGAUUGUUGACCCGAGUAAAUUUUAUUAGGGGCUCGGCGACAAGAGUGUUGAUGCGAGAUUAAACUGGAGCGAGAUAAUUAGAGCCGAUAUUGCGUUUUCGUAAUUAAUCUGUUCCACUGUCUACAAUUGUGGAAAUUUGUCUGAUUUCUAAGUAAACAAAGCUGACUAAAAUAUCGAGUCUGAUCUCCUUUUGGUUUGUGUCGUUUGCAUCUCGCUUGAAUCUAGAUUCUAGAAUUCACUCUUAUAUGUACUCCCUUGUUAAAAAUCGAGAAAAGAGCAAAAAUCUGAUUUUUUUUCUUUUGCCUUAUCUUCUCCACCGCUUAACUCCCUCAACCUUAUCCCCUGUACGAAGCACCUCAUCUCCCACACGUAAGCUAUUCCUCUCACCUCUACUCACAUGGCCGUCCCUCCUUCAUCCCUCCCCAUGCCGAGCUCCUUCUGGCCGAGCUUGGCCCUGCGCUCUCCCUCACAGCCACGCUCUCCUCCACCUAUAGCUCUCCCCAUCUCCUCCUCUCCCAUGGCGGCUCCCCUCGGAUCCCUCCCUCCAUGGCUGCCGUCGCCCCCAAGCCCGCGGUCUUGCCGAGCUCGCCCAGCCCUUCCCCAUCUUCUCUCCACCUCCCUGAUGAUCAGCGCCCUUACCCCAUGGUGCCAUGGACACCGCCCUCCCCUAACGGCAUUGAAAGCACCUAGAGGGGGGGGGGUGAAUAGGUGAUCUUGUAGAUCUUAAAAACUUAAGCCACAAAACUUUGAUUAAGUGUUAGCACAGUUAAUGCCAAGUGGCUAGAGCGAAGAUCUUGCACAAUAUGAUAAUCACAAGAAGAUCAACAUAGAGAGGACACGGUGAUUUAUCCCAUGGUUCGGCCAAGUACAAAACUUGCCUACUCCACGUUGUGGCGUCCCAACGGACGAGAGUUGCACUCAACUCCUCUCAAGUGAUCCAACGAUCAACUUGAAUACCACAGUGUUAUGCUUUUCUUCUCAAUAUCCCGUUUGCGAGGAAUCUCCACAACUUGGAGCCUCUCGCCCUUACACUUGAGAUUCACAAAGAAAUACGGAGUAAGGGAGGAACUAGCAACGCACACAAGACUCAAAACCAGAGCAACAACACGCACACAAGUCGCAACAAGAGCUUGCAACACAACUCAAAGAGUUCACAACUCCACAAGAGCUCUAGAUGCUAUCACAAUGAACCAAAUGCGCGAAAUCGAUGUCUUGGUGCUUAGGAAUGUUGUAGGAAUGCUUGGUGUGCUCCUCCAUGCGCCUAGGGGUCCCUUUUAUAGCCCCAAGGCAGCUAGGAGCCGUUGAAAACAAAUCUGGAAGGCCAUCCUUGCCUUCUGUCGUCGGGCGCACCGGACAGUCCGGUGCACACCGGACACUGUCCGGUGCCCGAUUUCCUUCCUUAAACAGCGCAGCCGACCGUUGCCAACCGUUGCAGAUCUGGCGCACCGGACAGUCCGGUGCACACCGGACAGUCCGGUGCCACUUUCCGACCGUUGGCCAGACCACGUGUCGCGCGCAGAUUCCGCGGCCGACCGUUGGCUUGGGCCGACCGUUGGCUCACCGGACAGUCCGGUGCACACCGGACAGUCCGGUGAAUUUUAGCCGUACGCCGUCGGCAAAUUCCCGAGAGCAGCGUCUUCGCCCGAGGCAGCCUGACGCACCGGACACUGUCCGGUGCACCACCGGACAGUCCGGUGCCCCAGACCGAAACAGCCUUUUGGCUGUACACAGCCAACUCUUCUUCUUUCUUCUUCUCUCUGUUUCUAUCACUUGGACAAGUAUAUUAGUACACAAAACCAAUGUACUAAGGCUUAGAAACAUACCUUUACUUGUGAUUUGCACUUUGUUCAUCCAUGGGCAUAGAUUUACAUUUAAGCACUUGUGUUGACACUCAAUCACCAAAAUACUUAGAAAUGGCCCAAAGGCACAUUUCCCUUUCAAUCUCCCCCUUUUUGGUGAUUUAUGCCAACACAACAUAAAGCAACUAGAACAAGUGCAAAAUCACUUCAAAUAAAACAAAUUUGAGUUUUAUUCAAUUUUGGCAUAUAUGGAUCAUCCUUUGCCACCACUUGGUUUGUUUUUGUAAAUCAAACUCAAAUCUCUAUCUCUAAGUCAAACACACAUGUUGAAGCAUAAAGAGAGUCAUUCCAAAAGAGAUUGAUCAAAGAUGUCACAAACUCCCCCUAUUUCCCAUAAUCAAUACUUCUCCCCACAAGAAGCCAACUUUUGACAAAAGAGACAAUAAGAGAGUUUUAACAAAACAAAAAGCUCUAUUUCACUAUUUUCAAAAUUUCUCAAGUGGUAGCUGAUCCAUUUAUUUCUUUGGCCUUUAUUUUCUCCCCCUUUGGCAUCAAGCACCAAAACGGGAUCAAUCGUGGCCCAAUAACCCCAUUGCCUCACCAAAAUCUUCAAUUAAGAGCAAAUGGCAAUAAGAGUUCAUGAGAUGGACUUGGAAUAAGUUACCCUCUCAUCGGAGUGCAGUGGAAGUCUUUCAUAGUCCAAGUCCACCUUUUCCCUUUCAAUUCUCCUUCGAGACUAAAUCAAGCAAACUCAAGCAUAUGGUUAGUCUCAAAGAGUCAAGUUGUAACACAACUCCCCCUAAACAUGUGCAUCACUUUGCAACGGACUUGUGAGGUCCAGGGAGUGUUUGUACAACUUGAGCACCAUAAUAAGCAACAAAAUGCAGAAUGAACAUGAUCAAAGGCAUAAACACAUGUAUGCUACAGUUCAAUCCAAGUUCCGCGAAUCUAAGACAUUUAGCUCACUACGCAGCCUGCAAAAGGUCUUCUCAUCUAGAGGUUUGGUAAAGAUAUCGGCUAGCUGGUUCUCGGUGCUAACAUGUAACACUUCGAUAUCCCCCUUUUGCUGGUGAUCUCUCAAAAAGUGAUGCCGGAUGUCUAUGUGCUUUGUGCGGCUGUGCUCAACAGGAUUUUCCGCCAUGCGGAUAGCACUCUCAUUAUCACAUAGGAGUGGGACUUUGCUCAGAUUGUAGCCAAAGUCCCUGAGGGUUUGCCUCAUCCAAAGUAGUUGCGCACAACACUGUCCUGCGGCAACAUACUCGGCCUCAGCGGUGGAUAGGGCAACGGAAGUUUGUUUCUUAGAGUUCCAUGACACCAGGGACCUUCCUAAGAAUUGGCACGUCCCCGAUGUACUCUUCCUAUCGACCUUACAUCCAGCAUAAUCGGAGUCUGAGUAUCCAACCAAGUCAAAGGUAGACCCCUUUGGAUACCAGAGCCCGAAGCAAGGCGUAGCAACUAAAUAUCUCAGAAUUCGCUUCACCGCCACUAAGUGACACUCCUUAGGAUCGGAUUGAAAUCUAGCACACAUGCAUACGCUAAGCAUAAUAUCCGGUCUACUAGCACAUAAAUAAAGCAAAGAACCUAUCAUGGACCGGUAUGCUUUUUGAUCAACAGACUUACCUCCUUUGUUGAGGUCGGUGUGUCCGUCGGUUCCCAUCGGAGUCUUUGCGGGCUUGGCAUCCUUCAUCCCAAACCGUUUUAGCAGAUCUUGCGUGUACUUCGUUUGGGAGAUGAAGGUGCCGUCCUUGAGUUGCUUCACUUGGAACCCAAGGAAGUAGUUCAACUCGCCCAUCAUCGACAUCUCGAAUUUCUGCGUCAUCACCCUGCUAAACUCUUCACAGGACUUUUGGUUAGUAGAACCAAAUAUUAUGUCAUCGACAUAAAUUUGGCACACAAACAAAUCACCAUCACAUGUCUUAGUGAAAAGAGUUGGAUCAGCUUUCCCAACCUUGAAAGCAUUAGCAAUUAAGAAAUCUCUAAGGCAUUCAUACCAUGCUCUUGGGGCUUGCUUAAGUCCAUAGAGCGCCUUAGAGAGCUUACACACGUGGUCGGGGUACCGUUCAUCCUCGAAGCCAGGGGGUUGCUCUACGUACACCUCCUCCUUGAUUGGCCCGUUGAGGAAAGCGCUCUUCACAUCCAUUUGGAACAACCUGAAAGAAUGGUGAGCGGCAUAUGCUAGCAAGAUACGAAUUGAUUCUAGCCUAGCCACAGGAGCAAAAGUCUCCUCGAAAUCCAAACCUGCGACUUGGGCAUAACCUUUUGCCACAAGUCGAGCCUUGUUCCUCGUCACCACUCCGAGCUCGUCUUGUUUGUUGCGGAACACCCACUUGGUUCCCACAACAUUUUGCUUAGGACGAGGCACCAGCGUCCAAACUUCAUUCCUCUUGAAGUUAUUGAGCUCCUCUUGCAUGGCCAACACCCAGUCCGGAUCUAGCAAGGCCUCUUCUACCCUGAAAGGCUCAAUAGAAGAGACAAAGGAGUAAUGUUCACAAGAAUUAACUAAUCGAGACCGAGUAGUUACUCCCUUGCUAAUGUCACCCAGAAUUUAGUCGACGGGAUGAUCCCUUUGAAUCAUCGCUCGAACUUGGGUUGGAGGUGCCGGUUCCGCUUCUUCCUCCAUCACAUGAUCAUCUUGUGUUCCCCCUUGAUCACACGCCUCCUGUUGAUGAACCUGUUCAUCGUCUUGAGUUGGGGGAUGCACCAUAGUCGAGGAAGAAGGUUGAUCUCGUUCAUCUUGUUCCUGUGGCCGAACGUCUCCAAUCGCCAUGGUUCGUAUAGCGUCCGUCGGAACAUCUUCUUCAUCUACAUCAUCACAAUCAACAACUUGCUCUCUUGGAGAGCCAUUAGUCUCAUCAAAUACAACGUUGCUAGAGACUUCAACCAAACCCGAUGAUUUGUUGAAGACUCUAUACGCCUUUGUAUUUGAGUCAUAACCUAACAAAAACCCUUCUACAGCUUUGGGAGCAAAUUUGGAAUUUCUACCUUUCUUCACUAGAAUGUAGCACUUGCUCCCAAAUACACGAAAGUAAGAUACAUUGGGUUUGUUACCGGUUAGUAGCUCAUAUGACGUCUUCUUGAGGAGGCGAUGAAGGUAGACCCUGUUGAUGGCGUGGCAAGCCGUGUUCACGGCUUCCGUCCAAAAGCACUCGGGGGUCUUGAACUCUCCUAUCAUCGUCCUUGCCAUGUCAAUGAGCGUCCUGUUCUUCCUCUCUACCACACCAUUUUGCUGUGGUGUGUAGGGAGCGGAGAACUCGUGCUUGAUCCCUUCCUCUUCAAGGAACUCCUCCACUUGAAGGUUCUUGAACUCGGACCCAUUGUCGCUCCUUAUCUUCUUUACUUUGAGCUCAAACUCAUUUUGAGCUCUCCUGAGGAAGCGCUUGAGGGUCCCUUGGGUUUCAGACUUAUCCUGCAAAAAGAACACCCAAGUGAAGCGGGAAAAGUCAUCAACAAUAACUAGACCAUACUUACUUCCUCCUAUGCUCAGAUAGGCGACGGGUCCGAAAAGAUCCAUAUGCAGCAACUCCAGGGGUCUUGAAGUGGUCAUCACAUUCUUGCUGUGAUGCGCUCCUCCCACUUGUUUACCUGCUUGACAAGCUGCACAAGGUCUAUCCUUUUCGAAUUUCACGUUAGUCAAACCUAUCACGUGUUCUCCCUUUAGAAGCUUGUGAAGGUUCUUCAUCCCCACAUGUGCUAAGCGGCGAUGCCACAGCCAGCCCAUGCUAGUCUUAGCUAUUAAGCAUGCAUCUAGACCGGCCUCUUCUUUUGCAAAAUCAACUAAAUAAAGUUUGUCGUCUAAUACACCCUUAAAAGCUAGUGAACCAUCACUUCUUCUAAAGACAGACACAUCUACAUUUGUAAAUAGACAGUUAUAUCCCAUAUUGCAUAAUUGACUAACAGAUAGUAAAUUAUAUCCCAGAGACUCAACUAAAAACACAUUAGAAAUUGAGUGCUCAUUUGAGAUUGCAAUUUUACCUAACCCUUUCACCUUGCCUUGAUUCCCAUCACCGAAUAUAAUUGAAUCUUGGGAGUCCUUAUUCUUGACGUAGGAGGUGAACAUCUUCUUCUCCCCCGUCAUAUGGUUUGUGCAUCCGCUGUCGAUAAUCCAGCUUGAACCCCCGGAUGCAUAAACCUGCAAGGCAAAUUUAGGCUUGGGACUUAGGUACCCAACUCAUGUUGGGUCCUACAAGGUUAGUGCAAAUAUCCUUAGGGACCCAAAUGCAAGUUUUGUCUCCCUUGCAUUUUGCCCCUAACUUCCUAGCAACAAUUUUCUUAUCCUUUCUACAAAUAGCAAAGGAAGCAUUUAAAGCAUAAUAAAUUGUAGAAGGUUCAUUCACUACUUUCCUAGGAGCAUGAAUAACAUUCUUUCUAGGCAUAGCAUUUUUCCUAGACAUAUUUCUAACGUGCAUAAAGGAAGAACUAGAAGCAAACAUGGCAUGAGAGUUAAAAUCAUCAUAUGCAUUAUAACUCCUAUACGCAUUUCUAGUUUGUCUCCUAUCAUGAUAUAAAAAGGCAUGGUUCCUUUUAGCACUAGUAGCCAUAGGGGCCUUCCCUUUCUCCUUAGUGGGAAUGGGAGCCUUAUGGCUUGUUAAGUUCUUGGCUUCCCUCUUGAAGCCAAGUCCAUCCUUAAUUGAGGGGUGUCUACCGAUCGUAUAGGCAUCCCUUGCAAAUUUUAGUUUAUCAAAUUCAUUCUUGCUAGUCUUAAGUUGGGCAUUAAGACUAGCCAAAUCCUCAUUAAGCUUGGAAAUUGAAACUAGGUGUUCACUACAAGCAUCAAUGUCAAAAUCUUUACACCUAGUACAAAUUACAACAUGUUCUACACCAGAAUUGGAUUUAUUUGCUACUUCUAAUUUAGCAUUUAAAUCAUUGUUGACAUCUUUCAAAGUAGAAAUGGUUUCAUGACAAGUAGAUAGUUCAAUAGAAAGCAUUUCAUUUCUUUUAACUUCUAAAGCAUAGGAUUUUUGUGCCUCUACAAAUUUAUCAUGUUCUUCAUACAACAAAUCCUCUUGUUUCUCUAAGAGUCUAUCCUUCUCAUUCAAGGCAUCAAUCAACUCAUUAAUUUUAUCUAUUUUAGUUCUAUCCAAUCCCUUGAACAAACUAGAGUAAUCUAUUUCAUCAUCACUAGACUCAUCAUCACUGGAAGAAUCAUAAGUGACAUUGUUUUGAUUGCAUACCUUCUUCUCCCUUGCCAUAAGGCAUGUGUGACGCUCGUUGGGGAAGAGGGAUGACUUGUUGAAGGCAGUGGCGGCAAGUCCUUCAUUGUCGGAGUCGGAGGAGGAGCAAUCCGAAUCCCACUCCUUUCCGAUAUGUGCCUCGCCCUUGGCCUUCUUGUAAUGCUUCUUCUUUUCCCUCUUGCUCCCGUGUUCCUGGUCACUAUCAUUGUCGGGACAGUUAGCAAUAAAAUGACCAAGCUUACCGCAUUUGAAGCAUGAUCGUUUUCCCUUGGUCUUAGUCUUGCUUGGCUGUCCCAUGCGACCUUUUAGUGCCGUCUUGAAUCUUUUGAUGAUGAGAGCCAUCUCUUCAUCAUUAAGACCAGCCGCCUCAAUUUGCGCCACCUUGCUGGGCAGCGCCUCCUUGCUUCUUGUUGCCUUGAGAGCAAUGGGUUGAGGCUCAUGGAUUGGGCCAUUCAACGCGUCGUCCACGUACCUCGCCUCCUUGAUCAUCAUCCGCCCGCUUACAAAUUUUCCAAGAAUUUCCUCGGGCGACAUCUUGAUGUACCUAGGAUUUUCACGAAUAUUGUUCACCAAGUGAGGAUCAAGAACGGUAAAUGACCUUAGCAUUAGGCGGACGACGUCGUGAUCCGUCCAUCGCGUGCUUCCGUAGCUCCUUAUUUUGUUGAUAAGGAUCUUGAGCCGGUUGUAUGUUUGUGUCGGCUCCUCGCCCCUUAUCAUCGCGAAUCGUCCGAGCUCGCCCUCCACCAACUCCAUCUUGGUGAGUAAGGUGACAUCAUUCCCCUCAUGAGAGAUCUUGAGGGUGUCCCAAAUCUGCUUGGCAUUGUCCAAGCCGCUCACCUUGUGAUACUCGUCCCUGCACAAAGAGGCUAGCAACACAGUAGUAGCUUGUGCAUUUUUAUGAAUCUGUUCAUUAAUAAACGAAGGACUAUCCGAGCUAUCAAACUUCAUUCCACUUUCCACAAUCUCCCAAAUGCUUGGAUGGAGAGAGAAUAGGUGAGUACGCAUUUUGUGACUCCAAAAUCCGUAGUCCUCUCCAUCAAAGUGAGGAGGCUUGCCAAGUGGAAUGGGGAGCAAAUGAGCAUUUGAACUAUGCGGAAUGCGCGAAUAAUCAAAAGAAAAGUUUGAGUUAACCGUCUUUUGUUUGUCAUAGUCGUUGUCGUCGUUUUCCUUUUGGGAAGAGGAAGAUUCGUCGCUGUCGUCGUAGUAGACGAUCUCCUUGAUGCGCCUUGUCUUCUUCUUCUUCCCUUCCUUCCGUCUAUGGCCCGAGCCGGAGUCGGUAGGCUUGUCUUCUUUGGGCUCGUUGACGAAGGACUCCUUCUCCUUAUCGUUGAUCACGAUUCCCUUCCCCUUAGGAUCCAUCUCUUCGGGCGGUUAGUCCCUUUCUUGAAGAGAACGGCUCUGAUACCAAUUGAAAGCACCUAGAGGGGGGGGUGAAUAGGUGAUCCUGUAGAUCUUAAAAACUUAAGCCACAAAACUUUGAUUAAGUGUUAGCACAGUUAAUGCCAAGUGGCUAGAGCGAAGAUCUUGCACAAUAUGAUAAUCACAAGAAGAUCAACACAGAGAGGACACGGUGAUUUAUCCCGUGGUUCGGCCAAGUACAAAACUUGCCUACUCCACGUUGUGGCGUCCCAACGGACGAGAGUUGCACUCAACUCCUCUCAAGUGAUCCAACGAUCAACUUGAAUACCACAGUGUUAUGCUUUUCUUCUCAAUAUCCCGUUUGCGAGGAAUCUCCACAACUUGGAGCCUCUCGCCCUUACACUUGAGAUUCACAAAGAAAUACGGAGUAAGGGAGGAACUAGCAACGCACACAAGACUCAAAACCAGAGCAACAACACGCACACAAGUCGCAACAAGAGCUUGCAACACAACUCAAAGAGUUCACAACUCCACAAGAGCUCUAGAUGCUAUCACAAUGAACCAAAUGCGCGAAAUCGAUGUCUUGGUGCUUAGGAAUGUUGUAGGAAUGCUUGGUGUGCUCCUCCAUGCGCCUAGGGGUCCCUUUUAUAGCCCCAAGGCAGCUAGGAGCCGUUGAAAACAAAUCUGGAAGGCCAUCCUUGCCUUCUGUCGUCGGGCGCACCGGACAGUCCGGUGCACACCGGACACUGUCCGGUGCCCGAUUUCCUUCCUUAAACAGCGCAGCCGACCGUUGCCAACCGUUGCAGAUCUGGCGCACCGGACAGUCCGGUGCACACCGGACAGUCCGGUGCCACUUUCCGACCGUUGGCCAGACCACGUGUCGCGCGCAGAUUCCGCGGCCGACCGUUGGCUUGGGCCGACCGUUGGCUCACCGGACAGUCCGGUGCACACCGGACAGUCCGGUGAAUUUUAGCCGUACGCCGUCGGCAAAUUCCCGAGAGCAGCGUCUUCGCCCGAGGCAGCCUGACGCACCGGACACUGUCCGGUGCACCACCGGACAGUCCGGUGCCCCAGACCGAAACAGCCUUUUGGCUGUACACAGCCAACUCUUCUUCUUUCUUCUUCUCUCUGUUUCUAUCACUUGGACAAGUAUAUUAGUACACAAAACCAAUGUACUAAGGCUUAGAAACAUACCUUUACUUGUGAUUUGCACUUUGUUCAUCCAUGGGCAUAGAUUUACAUUUAAGCACUUGUGUUGACACUCAAUCACCAAAAUACUUAGAAAUGGCCCAAAGGCACAUUUCCCUUUCAGGCAUGCUCCCAGCGCCUCCUCCCCACACUCGGCUUGGCAUGGAGGUCAACCAUGGGAUGCAUCACACCAACCUCACCGGCCAUACCCCCUGCUCCUCCCCACCGUCCGCAGCCCCAACGUCAUCACCGUGUUUAGUCAUGGUGAUUCCUAACCCUCUUGUAUUUCACUAAUUCUUCUAAUGCGAGCAGAUUUUUGUUGAUGUUAUAUUGAUACGAGGUUAUGUGUAUUUGUGUGCGAGUGUGACAGAGAGAAAGGUUCUAGGGUUUGGUUGGAAAAGAAAGCUAUAGCACGUCGACCACCAGGUGUUUGAUGAAUUAGAUGAAUCAACACUUGUUGUGGUUAUUGUGAAGUUUCGGUUCAUAUGAGCUUUUGGGGUGAGCCAGUUUCUCGCUCUUAUUUUUGGUACUAUGUGUUGUAAAAUUAGAGAAAUAAGUGGCAUGCUUUCUACAUAUUUAAAUAGAUUAAAUAUUCUAAUUCCGAAUAAAACAAGCAUAUAACUCAGAUAAAUGCCAUAUAUAAUUAUUGCAGCAAUGAACAGUAGCAAUUCUAGAACAUGUAAACAUGUAAAAUAGCUGUUCAGGUACAUUUCAUAAUUAAACAUGGCUUGCAAAUGAAGAAGGCAGAUUAAACAAAUAAACAUGAUUGUUUAUCUUAAAAUAUUGCUCUCAAAAUAGCGGGUUGUUGUAAUAAACAACCCUCCAACGCUAAAAGGUGAUCAAAGAUCCUCGACUAACGUGACAGUCCUAUCUUACCAAAUCAAGGUUUUAGAUCAGAUGUAAUAAGCCUAAUAAUCAAGUAUAAAUACUGAUAGUAAGGACCUGUGUACUAAAUAAAAUAACAGCAAUUUAACACAGGUAAACAGCCUCGACAAAGAGAGAUUUAAUUAGGCACAAAUAAUAUCAAUGCUGAAAAUGAUAGUACACUAAAACCUAGACUGUCACGUUGUCUCACUACACCGCUAACAUCAUCGAGCACACAAAUCCGCCCACAAUAGUGCAAUCACACUCAAGUAUAUAAUACUAGCAGAUUGCACAAAAAUUAAACAGUAGAUAAAGUGAGUCAAAGAAUAACUCACAGCACAUAGAUUGACUACGUGGGAAGAUCAGCUCAGCGAACACAAAGUUCUGUCCCAGAAAACCAAUUCUGCCGCCCACGUCCGGGUCUGCACGGCGGGAGGUUGACGGAGAUACUAGAGCCGCUGUCGGAGCCGAGGGAGACGUCCACGGCACCAGCCCGAGAAUACGAACACCGCGCAGCAGGGAGCCUAAGCACCAGGCCACGGUGGACAGAGAUCAGACAAAAAUCGGAGCACCAGAGAAGUGCACGAUUCCGGCAACAGAGCACAUGUAUAUCACGCUGCGCAAGUACAACCCAUCUUCCUCCCACUUUGAACCACUCCCAGCAAGAAUCGCCACCAGAAUACCAGGAAAUGAACUGGUAGUUUCAGUUCUUACCGGAGCAGCACACACGGAGAGAGGAAGAAGAACAACCGACUGCUUGACCAGCGCCAGAGAGAGAGGAAACGCACCCAUACUUAUGGAGCAGAUCGGGCACCAAAUUCGGAGGCCGUUGAACAGAGAGAAACGCUAGAGGCGGUCGUGCAAGCCGGUCAACCAGUUCAGCCUCCACCGCCGCUCUUUGUCCCUGUUUUUAGACGCACACGCAGGAGGUGCCCUAGCUGGGAGUUUUACCAGCGCUUGUCGGUGGGCUGCUCGGCCUCCAGCCUUGUAGCGGCCACCCGGUCGGCCCCCUUGUUUUUUUAAUAAAGUGAAAAUUUGUAAAAUGGACAACAAUCCCCACCAUUUUCACUCUUAUUUUCUGAUCAAUGUCAUUGAGCUCCCGUACUGUUUAUAUACUACUUUUCGGCAGAGGUACUUGUUAGGUUUGAUCCAAAGCCUAUCCUAGUGUACUCCAACCCUGCACGAGUAAGCGGAGGACUACGCCUUGAUCCACAAAUCCUAGUGUGAGAAUCUUUGCACAAAAGGCACAUAGUACUAGGUAGAUUAUCUGCUUCUCUUACGGGGCGGGGCGUUACGGUCAUGCCCUUUAAUAUCUAUUCAUGAACUCACUAGAGAGAAAACCCCAUUCUCUCUCGGACUGCGACCCCACAGUCAGCUCAUAUAGGUGAAAUCAUUAAGGAAAUUCUGUAGGACAAUUUCCCUGCUUAUAGUAUUGACUUCAUUAAGAGCAUAUUGCUCAACCUGCCAUACAGACAGAGCACAGCAGCUAAUGAGACUCUUUGUCUUUUGUGCUCUUGGUUCCACAGUGCUUCGUUUCCUGGAGCCUGGAUCUCGGGAUCUCCGGUCACACAGGACAGUUAUCCGCAGUUGAAACCGCUAACAGGGUAUGAGUCCCAUUCCCAUGCACGCUGCUUGGAUUGGCUUUUGAGCCAGUCCUUUAGUGAAAGGAUCAACAAGGUUCCUUUCAGACUUGAUGUAAUCUACGGUUAUUACACCCGUCUCUCUAGCAUGCCGACAUGAAUCAAGUCGUCUUUUGAUAUGCCUCGAGGAUUUUUGGUUGUCCUUUCUACUGUUCACUUUCAGCAACAUAGAAGUGUUGUCAUAGUAUACUAGGACAGCCGGUAUCGGCUUUCCUAGCAUUGGAAGGUCUGACAACAGGUCUCUCAACCAUUCAGCCUCCAAUGCUGCUGAAUCAAGUGCAACUAAUUCAGCCUCCAUGGUGGAACGUGUCGACACUGAUUGUUUAGACGAUCUCCAUGACACAGCCCCACCAGCUAAAGUGAACACAUAGCCACUUGUAGACUUCAUUUGAUCCGAGUUAGAGAUCUAGUUUGCAUCACUGAAUCCUUCAAGUACUGACGGAAAUCCGGUAUAUUUAAUACCAAGAUUCAUCGCUCCCUUCAAAUACCGUAGCACUCUGUACAAGGCUACCCAGUGUCUAUCUCCUGGACUGGCCGAAUAACGAGCCAGUCUGCAUACUGCAUAUGAGAUAUCUGGUCUAGUUGCACUUCUCAGGUACAUGAGAGAUCUGAUGAUCUACGAAUAUAAUAGAUGGUUCACAGGCUCGCCUUCAUGUUUACUGAGCGUGUAGGAUGGAUCAUAGGGCGUGGUGACUGGUUUGCAGUCCAUAUGUCCAAAGCGAGUCAGGACCUUUUCCACAUAAUAGGAUUGUGACAAAGUAAUCCCAUCCUCACCCUUUAUUAGCUUGAUGUUCAAUAUUACAUCAGCUUCACCCAAGUCCUUCAUAUCAAAGUUCUUGGAGAGGAAUGCUUUUGUCUCCAUGAUAGCCUCCAAAUCGGUCCCAAAAAUCAAUAUGUCAUCAACGUAUAAACACAUGAUGACACCUUUGCCCCCAGAGAAGUGAUAAUACACACACUUGUUGGCUUCGUUUACACAAAACCCGACAGUGGUCAGAGUAUUAUUAAACUUCUCAUGCCAUUGUCCGGGAGCUUGCUUAAGACCGUAUAAGGAUUUAAUCAAGCGACACACUUUGCUCUCUUGUCCUUUAACCACAAAUCCUUCUGGUUGCUGCAUAUAAAUUUCCUCUUCCAGCUCUCCAUUUAGGAAUGUUGUCUUUACGUCCAUUUGAUGAACAAGAAGUUUAUAAGCAGCUGCCAGUGCUAAAAGCACAUGGAUUGUGGGCAAUCGAGCCACCGGAGAAUAAGUAUCAAAAUAAUCCUCCUCUUUCUUUUGAGUAAAACCCUUAGCCACAAGACGGGCCUUGUACUUUUCAAUAGUACCAUCGGGUCUCCUCGUCCUCCUAAAGAUCCAUUUGCAGCCCACAGGCUUGCAACCAGCUGGGAGAUCAGUUAUCUCCCAAGUUCCGUUCGAGAUGAUUGAAUCCAUCUCGCUACGGACAGCCUCCCUCCAGUACUCUGCAUCCGGAGAUGUAUAUGCCUUUGUGAGGGAGCGUGGUUCUUCAUCCACUAGAUAGAUAAUAUAAUCAUCACCAGAGACUUUUCAGUCCUUUGUCUCUUACUCCUCCUUAACUCCAAAUCUGGAAUCUGGUCAUGGACACUCGAGGGCAGAGAAUAUGUCCGAGAUGGACCAUCUGGGGUUACUACUUCCUUAUCUCGCAUAGGGAAGAUGCUCUCAAAGAAUGUCACAUCCUGAGACUCCAUUAUUACAUUUACAGUGAUUUCGCUUGUCUUGGAAUGGACCACUAGAAAUCUAUAAGCUGCACUGUUAUGUGCAUAAUCCAGGAAGACACAGUCUACGGUCUUAGGGCCUAGCUUUCUCUUCUUCGGCAACGGGACAUUCACCUUUGCAAGGCAGCCCCAAGUUCGAAGAUGCGAAAGAUCUGGCUUCCUUCCUUUAAAUCCUUCAUAGGGCGUGACCUCACGGUUGCGAGGCGGCACCCUGUUCAGGACAUAGCACAAUGUGAGUACUGCCUCACCCCACCAGAUGUCAGGCAUCCCCGAACGUUGCAACAAAGCGUUAGCUAAGUCACACACCGUUAGGUUCUUCCUUUCAGCUACCCCAUUUAACUGAGGUGAAUAUGGAGCAGUGGUUUCAUGAAUGAUUCCACACUCUUUGCAGUACUCAUCAAAAAAGUUGGAAAGGUAUUCACCUCCUCUAUCAUACCGUAACCUUUCAGUCUUAUAGAUCUUAAAGUGUUCUAGUGCCUCAUCUUUAGUUCUGAGUAAGUAAAUAUAACAGAACCUGGUAGCAUCAUCUAUCAAGGUAAGAAAGUAUCUUUUACCACCUUUUGUGAUUAUACCAUUCAUCUCACAGAUAUCUGAGUGAAUUAGUUCUAAAGGAGUGGUACUUCUGCCUUCAACCGUAUGAAACGGUUUUCUAGGCUGCUUAGCUUGCACACAAAUACCACAUUUUACACCUUUAACAUGUUUAUAUUCAGGAAUUAAAGACAUGUCACUUAAUCUCUUAAUGGCCUCAAAAUUCACAUGACACAAAUGGGAAUGCCAUAUAUUAUUAAUGGAAUCGUUAUUACAGACCACAUUAACAUGGUAAGAAGAAUGAUUAUUCAAAACAGAAAGACGGAACAAACCGCCUGACUCAUAUGACUUUCCAACAAAAGUACCAAACUUAGACAGGACCACUUUAUUAGACUCAAACACUAAUUUGAGACCCUGUCGACAUAGCAGCGACACUGAUAUGAGGUUCCGGCUCAUCGAUGGCACAUAGAGUACGUCCUUCAGCACGAGUGUCUUUCCUGAAGUUAACUUCAGGUAGACCUGUCCAGUACCUCGAACUGCUGCCGGAACACCAUUUCCCAUCAAGACUGGUGCGCUGCUGUAUCCCUGGAAUGAAGAGAACAUGGAUCGAUCAGCACAAAUAUGAACAGUAGCACCGGAAUCCAUCCACCAGUCAUCUGAUGGACUUGCCAUAAAGGCCUGAGGUGCAUACCCUGGGGUGGAGUUAACCACCACGUUCCCUUCUUUGCGCUGAGGUGGAGGACCUUUUCCCUUCCUAAGUUUGCACCUCCGAGCUGUAUGCCCGGAGACACCACAAACGUAGCCGAUAAAGUCCUCCUUUUUCUUCUUCAUCUUUUUGGACUUAGGUUGGUUCAUAUUCUUCUGUGGAGAGUUCUUCUUCUUCUUCUUCUGGAAUUUUCUAUCUCCACCCUUCUCAACAACGUGAGCCUGGAGUUGCUGGGAUGGCUUGUUACUGGACCUUGCACGCUCUUCCACAUUAAUCGCAGCUGACAACUCAGUGAGAGUCAUUUGCUUCUUCAUGUGGCGGCGUGAAGUCACAAAGUAUCGCCAAGAAGGCGGGAGCUUUGUCAGUAUUGCAUUCACCUGAAAACUGUCUGGUAGGACGCAGCCAUAUUGUACCAAGUCCCUAACAAGGAGUUGAAUCUCCUGUAGCUGCUCCAUAGCAGACCUUCCCUCAGCCAUUUUAUAGUUGAGGUAGUUUUUCGUUGUGAAUGACUCAUUGCCAUUGUCAACUUUAGAGAACUCGUUCUCAAGUUCAGUCCAUAGACCCUUAGCGGAGGUAAAACCAGAGUACACGUCAAAUAAGCGGUUCAACAAGACGUUCAGCAGACGAGACAAGCAUGCCUCAUUGGCUUCGUCCCACUUGGCCUUCUCCGCUAGUGCGGCAGCCUUCGCUGCAUCAUCAGAAUCAUCUGAUGUAGCCUGGGGAACAGCCGACGUCACUACCCAAAAUAAUUUUAGGUCAGUGAGCCACAUGCGAGUCUUAAUCUGCCAGCCCUUAAAGCUUGCGCCGUCGAACGCUUCAGGCUUAAUGACAUCAGAACUGGAGGCCAUUAUACGAAUUGGUUUUCUGGAUUGUUGUAAAAUUAGAGAAAUAAGUGACAUGCUUUCUACAUAUUUAAAUAGAUUAAAUAUUCUAAUUCCGAAUAAAACAAGCAUAUAACUUAGAUAAAUGCCAUAUAUAAUUAUUGCAGCAAUGAACAGUAGCAAUUCUAGAACAUGUAAACAUGUAAAAUAGUUGUUCAGGUACAUUUCAUAAUUAAACAUGGGUUGCAGAUGAAGAAGGCAGAAUAAACAAAUAAACAUGAUUGUUUAUCUUAAAAUAUUGCUCUUAAAAUAGCGGGUUGCUGUAAUAAACAGCCCUCCAACGCUAAAAUGUGAUCAGAGAUCCUCGACUAACGUGACAGUCCUAUCUUACCAAAUCAGGGUUUUAGAUCAGAUGUAAUAAGCCUAAUAAUCAAGUAUAAAUACUGAUAGUAAGGACCUGUGUACUAAAUAAAAUAACAACAAUUUAACACAGGUAAACAGCCUCGACAAAGAGAGAUUUAAUUAGGCAUAAAUAAUAUCAAUGCUGAAAAUGAUAGUACACUAAAACCCAGACUGUCAUGUUGUCUCACUACACCGCUAACAUCAUCGAGCACACAAAUCUGCCCACAAUAGUGCAAUCACACCCAAGUAUAUAAUACUAGCAGAUUGCACAAAAAUUAAACAGUAGAUAAAGUGAGUCAAAUAAUAACUCACAGCACGUAGAUUGACUACGUGGGAAGAUCAGCUCAGCGAACACGAAGUUCUGUCCCAGAAAACCAAUUCCGUCGCCCACGUCCGGGUCUGCACGGCGGGAGGUUGACGGAGAUACUAGAGCCGCUGCCGGAGCCGAGGGAGACGUCCACGGCACCAGCCCGAGAAGAUGAACACCGAGCAGCAGGGAGCCCAAGCACCAGGCCAUGGUGGACAGAGAUCAGACAAAAAUCGGAGCACCAGAGAAGUGCACGAUUCUGGCAACAGAGCACAUGUAUAUCACGCUGCGCAAGUACAACCCAUCUUCCUCCCACUUUGAACCACUCCCAGCAAGAAUCGCCACCAGAAUACCAGGAAACGAACUGGUAGUUUCGGUUCUUACUGGAGCAGCACACACGGAGAGAGGAAGAAGAACAUCCGACUGCUUGGCCAGCGCCAGAGAGAGAGGAAACGCACCCAUACUUAUGGAGCAGACCGGGCACCAAAUUCGGAGGCCGUUGAACAGAGAGAAAAGCCAGAGGCGGCCGUGCAAGCCGGCCAACCAGUUCAGCCUCCGCCGCCGCUCUCUGUCCCUGUUUUUAGACGCACACGUAGGAGGUGCCCUAGAUGGGAGUUUUACCCGCGCUUGCCGGUGGGAUGCUCGGCCUCCAGCCUUGUAGCGGCCCACCCGGUCGGCCCCCUUGUUUUUUUAAUAAAGUGAAAAUUCGUAAAUUGGACAGCACUAUGCAUAAAGUGAUUAGAUGUAUUAUAUGUGAUGUUACAUGGCGAUGUUAGGGAAGGAUUUUCCUUUAUAUUUUCCUUAGGAUAGUUGAGCAUAGGUAUUGUUUGAUGUUAGAUUAGGAUUUAAAAUAUACAAGUGUGCGAGGAAUAGUGGUAAAUCAGUGAUUGUUGUCAAAAUACCGUGUUGUAUGUAUUGUUAUGAUUCUAUCCAUAAUUAUAAUGGAGUCGCGUCGUAUGAUUGAGUUAAUUGUUCUUGUGUUCACAAUCAGAAAUUUCCUGUGUAUACAGUUUUGAUUGCGCAACUAAUCUGGUGAAGCAAACUACGUUUUCUAUAAAGAUGUUCUAUAUAAAAGUAGUAGUUAACCUCCCCAUCUUUCUUGUGUUAAAUUUUCAUGACCAUAGGUUUAGUAGUUUAAGAGUUAUGAUUUUCCCAAGUCCAGUUUCAGAAUCUGUCCAGAUUUUGUACUGAUUUCGAAAAUUGCUUUGUUUGACUAAAUUAAACUUAGAAUCAGACCUUAGUAAUUAUAGAAUAAUUGUAGUACUUUUCUUAAGGUUUCCAAAAGAUUUUG
rnacentral:lncRNA from 1 species